rnacentral:rRNA from 1 species
UACGUAGGGGGCAAGCGUUGUCCGGAUUUAUUGGGCGUAAAGAGCGUGUAGGCGGUUAGGUAGGUCCGUUGUGAAAACUCGAGGCUCAACCUCGAGACGCCGAUGGAAACCAUCUGACUAGAGUCCGGAAGAGGAGAGUGGAAUUCCUGGUGUAGCGGUGAAAUGCGCAGAUAUCAGGAGGAACACCUAUUGCGAAGGCAGCUCGCUGGGACGUAACUGACGCUGAGACGCGAAAGCGUGGGGAGCAAACAGG